rnacentral:rRNA from 1 species
UCCGGUUGAUCCCGCCGGACCUGACUGCUAUCGGAUUGAUACUAAGCCAUGCGAGUCAUUGUAGCAAUACAAGGCAUACGGCUCAGUAACGCGUAGUCAACCUAACCUAUGGACGGGAAUAACCUCGGGAAACUGAGAAUAAUGCCCGAUAGAACAUUAUACCUGGAAUGGUUUAUGUUCCAAAUGAUUUAUCGCCGUAGGAUGGGACUGCGGCCUAUCAGUUUGUUGGUGAGGUAAUGGCCCACCAAGACUAUUACAGGUACGGGCUCUGAGAGGAGUAGCCCGGAGAUGGGUACUGAGACACGGACCCAGGCCCUAUGGGGCGCAGCAGGCGAGAAAACUUUGCAAUGUGCGAAAGCACGACAAGGUUAAUCCGAGUGAUUUCUGCUAAAGAAAUCUUUUGUUAGUCCUAGAAACACUAACGAAUAAGGGGUGGGCAAGUUCUGGUGUCAGCCGCCGCGGUAAAACCAGCACCUCAAGUGGUCAGGAUGAUUAUUGGGCCUAAAGCAUCCGUAGCCGGCUCUGUAAGUUUUCGGUUAAAUCUGUACGCUUAACGUACAGGCCGCCGGGAAUACUGCAAAGCUAGGGAGUGGGAGAAGUAGACGGUACUCGGUAGGAAGUGGUAAAAUGCUUUGAUCUAUCGAUGACCACCUGUGGCGAAGGCGGUCUACUAGAACACGUCCGACGGUGAGGGAUGAAAGCUGGGGGAGCAAACCGGAUUAGAUACCCGGGUAGUCCCAGCUGUAAACUAUGCAAACUCAGUGAUGCAUUGGCUUGUGGCCAAUGCAGUGCUGCAGGGAAGCCGUUAAGUUUGCCGCCUGGGAAGUACGUACGCAAGUAUGAAACUUAAAGGAAUUGGCGGGGGAGCACCACAAGGGGUGAAGCCUGCGGUUCAAUUGGAUUCAACGCCGGA